UGCUAGUCGCGUGCUUCAGCCAAAACGAGGCACGGCAAACAGCUCAGUAACACGUGGCUAAUCUGCCCUUGGGAUAGGAACAACCCCGGGAAACUGGGGCUAAUUCCCAAUAGGUGAAGAACUCUGGAAUGAGUCUUUGCCAGAAAAGAGCUUACGUUAUGCUCGUAAGUUUCGCCCAAGGAUGAGGCCGCGACCGAUCAGGUUGUUGGUGAGGUAAUGGCUCACCAAGCCUUUUACCGGUGCGGGCCGUGAGAGCGGGAGCCCGGAGAUGGGCACUGAGACAAGGGCCCAGGCCCUACGGGGCGCAGCAGUCGCGAAAACUUUGCAAUACACGAAAGUGUGACAGGGCUAUCCCGAGUGCCAUCCGCUGAGGAAGGCUUUUACCCAGUCUAGAACGCUGGGGGAAUAAGGAGAGGGCAAGUCUGGUGUCAGCCGCCGCGGUAAUACCAGCUCUCCGAGUGGUGUGGAUGUUUAUUGGGCCUAAAGCAUCCGUAGCUGGCUAGGUAAGUCCUUUGUUAAAUCCACCGAAUUAAUCGUUGGAUCGCGGGGGAUACUGCUUGGCUAGGGGACGAGAGAGGCAGACGGUAUUUUUGGGGUAGGGGUGAAAUCCUAUAAUCCCAGGAAGACCACCAGUGGCGAAGGCUGUCUGCUAGAACGCGCCCGACGGUGAGGGAUGAAAGCUGGGGGAGCGAACCGGAUUAGAUACCCGGGUAGUCCCAGCUGUAAACGAUGCAGGCUAGGUGUUUGGACGGCCACGUGCCGUUCUAGUGCCGCAGGAAGCUGUUAAGCCUGCCGCCUGGGGAGUACGAUCGCAAGAUUGAAACUUAA
rnacentral:rRNA from 1 species